CUAUUAAUGAAAGCACAGAGAAGGGAGUGACUAAUUCUUACUGGGGUGAGGGCCCAGGAAAAUGUUCUAGGCAGAGGGAAGAGCCAAUGCAAAGGAAGAGAUGUGUGAAAAAGCAGGAUGUGUCCUUGGGAUAAUAAAGUGAUCUUUUCAGUGGCACUGUAUGCAGAUAGAUUGUCAGUGAGAGUCUGGGGCAAGGGCAUAUGCUAAGAGGCUUUAACAACAGUCCAUAGGAGGACCAUGGGCUGAGGCUGGAGAAAGGAUGACAAGGGAGGGCUGUUUAGGGUAAAGAGGACAGAGUGCAUAGUGAUGUGUAGGAGGGGAGAAAGGAGUCAGAUGACUCUGAGGGUUCUCACUUGAGCCACGGGGUGGGAGAUGUCAUGGUGGUAACUGAGAGAAUGAAUUCAAGAAAAGAAGCCACCGUAUGUGGGAAUAGGGGGAUGAUAUGAGAUUAUAUAUCUAUUCAAUUGUGGUUAUGUCCCACUUAAGGGGUCUUUCAACAGUCUGUCUUGACAGUGGACUGCCCAAGGCAAGAGGUAGCCAGCUCAGAAGCCAGAUGGGAGCUGGGGGACAGAGACCCAGAGGAUGAACUGGAAGGAGGCACUGAGAGAGGGAAAAAAAGAAGAAAAUGGACCCACAUCCUUUUCAGCUUGAGGCCAUGAAGAAAUGGAGGGAAGAGACAGAGUAAAAAGAAGAGGAGGUCAAAGGAGAACACAGAAAUGGCCAGAGGGGAAUAUAGCUCACUCUGGGGGAUGUUAUCUGCCUUGCUGUGAGGACAUUCAUGCAACCCUAUGGAGAGACACACGUAACAGGAACUGAGACCCCCACCCUGUGAAUAAGCCGUCUUAGAAAUGGAUUCUCCAACCUCAGUCAAACCUUCGGGCAACUGCAGUCUCUAUGGACAUUCUAUCUGCAACCUCAUGAGGGACUUCAAACCAGAGCCACCCAGAUAAGCCACUUCUGAAUUUCUGACCUACAGAACAAUAAAAUAAAUAUUAUUCUAAGCAACUAAGUUUUGGUGUAAUUUGUUACACAGCAACAGAUAACUAAUACAUAACUCCAUAAGUGUUUGCUGAGAAUUACCAUGUUGCACUAUUUUCUUCUCCUUUCCAGUUUAGACAUGGUUUCUGGAUCCUCAUCCUCGCCUUCUCUCAAGGGCAUGUGGCACCUUGUCACCAUCCCUGAUAAAGGCUGGCACCAAGAACUGAAUGCAGAAUUUAAGAACCUUGUGCUGGUGAUGGAGAAGCCUUUUUGGUAACAUGGGGUAACAAUGAAGCGAAGGUGAAGACAAUCUCUGAGAACUGAGUUCUGACAUCCUUGAGCAGCUAAACCAAUGCCUGCCUUAGGGCUGUUCAUAGAAUGAGAAAAGUAAGUCUCUAAAUUGGUUAAGCUACUUUUUGGGGAUUUCAACUAUUAA